rnacentral:lncRNA from 1 species
CCCAUUACCAAUCAAUUACACUCCUAGAAAUUUCCAUCAGAAUUCCAUUUUGUGUACACUGAGAGAUAUGUGAAGGAUGUAAUAGCAGUAUUGUUUUAAAGGCAAUAACUGGAAACAGUGCACACGUCCCUCAGGAGGGGGACAGAUGGUAUCUUCCUAUGCAGUGAGAAAAAUCAAGGAAAUCUUAUAGACAAUCACAUGGACUUGUCUCACAAAGAUGAUGUUGUCCCACAGGCAGGGGCAACUGUGGUCAGGGUCUGGUCAGGGGCUGGGUGGGUUGGAAGAGGAUGAAGCAUGAAUGGGAGUAAUUGUGGGAUUGGGCACCUUUUUCUUAACUUGAGUGGGGCUGGUCUCCCCAGACUGUGCAGUUAUGACUUUGUGAUUCGACCAUACGUAUGUAAUUGCCCCCAUGUUCACCCCAGACUCACUCCUUCCCCAGAGAGGCUCUGUCUGUCAGAUCAGCUACUGAUGACCAACUCCUCACAGGAAACGCUUGGCCAUAUAGUGAAAUUGUUGUUUUAAGUGGGUCUCUUUGACAGUGAUGUGGAAUAUGAGCUGAGAGAGUGAAGGGAAGAAGCCAGGAGGGCUUCCAGACGGCACUCAUGGACGGCCACAAGAACAGGGGUCCAUGCAGCUGGGCGAGGUCUGGAAGGGGGACUGGCAUGGAAUGUAAUUAGAGAUUUUAAUUUUCUUUUUCAAAACUAGAUAUGUGAAGCCCAAAUGUCAACUCUCUUUCAUAGAGAAAAUCCCUUUGAAUGCCAACAAAGGAGGGACCCCUGUCACCAGGGCGGCCCGUCUUCUCACUACCCACCUGCAAGUCCCACAAGCUUCUCAGCUUCAUGCCUCUGGCCGGUUCCCAGGACAGCCUCGUCAGGCUCUCGGGUCAUCCACUGCGAGUGUCCCAGGGGACCCUGGCCCUUCUACCUGCAGAGCAAGUUUGCCCUUUGUUUUGGAACAAGAGGCACACACAGCGCCUGCUGGUGCUCAGGUGAUGGGGCUGCAGCAGGGCCUUCAGUAAACUGGUCCACUCCCUGGGCUGAUGACCAUCAUGCUGGGCGGUGCAGGAGGAGCUGUAUCCUCCUUGCCUGCAAUGGCUCUGUCCUGCCUGCCUGCACUGUAAACUCUUACACCGGCCGUGGCAUGGCCAUCACCCAGAGCUGACUGCAGUAACCCACACUCCACUGCCCCCAGAUCUCUUCCUCCCACACGGAGCCAUGAAAGGGAGAGCUGGGUGCUGCCAGGUGCAUCCCCAAGAACGGUCUGUCAGUGCUGACCACGCCCACACUCUGGCCCCUGUCGGCGGGGGCGGGGGGCUGGACUCACCGAGGCCUGUGUGCUUGGGGUUCGUGCUCCCCAUCCUGGUCUGUGCUGAAGGUGGUGAGGGGGAGGGGAGGCCUCUGGGCUCCAGCACAGGUCGGUCCUGGGUCCCGAGCAGUGCAGUGGUGUGGGCAGCAGCCAGG